CGGAGGAUGCAAGCGUUAUCCGGAAUCAUUGGGCGUAAAGCGUCCGCAGGUGGUUAUUCAAGUCUGCUGUUAAAGAUUGAAGCUUAACUUCAAAGAGGCGGUGGAAACUGAAUGACUAGAGGUCAGUAGGGGUAGCAGGAAUUCCCAGUGUAGCGGUGAAAUGCGUAGAGAUUGGGAAGAACAUCGGUGGCGAAAGCGUGCUACUGGGCUGAAUCUGACACUGAGGGACGAAAGCUAGGGGAGCAAAAGGGAUU
rnacentral:rRNA from 1 species